GGCCCGGAGUUACCUCCACGCUGGGCUCCCCCGCCCUGAGCCACUCACCGGACAAGCCACCUCCCCUCCUCCCUAGGCUACCUCGGGACGCGGGACGAGCUGCCCAGCCGCCGAGUGCUAGGAAAAGCUUAUUUGACUGGAAUAUUUGAGGAAAGUAAAACAACAACAACAACAACAACAACACGCCAGAACACCUAUGACUGACACAAGACACCAACUCAUCUUAGGAGCCAAGGAGUUACUGUAAAGUGGAGUGGAUGGAUUCCACUUACUAACCAUGUAACCUCUUGGGCAAGUUAUUUUACCUCUCCUAAUCUGUUUCUUCACCUCUAACUUGGAGCUAAGAAUGUCUAUCUUGGG